ACUCCAACGCCCCGCUCUGCUUCAUCUCUGGAGUUUUACCAUCAGGCAGAUUGGCUAUGCAAUGAAGCUACAGCUGGGGAGCAUUCCAACGCGGCCGGCUUCCGGCGCUGAUCUGAAAUUUACUUGUCAGGUCAAGAGAAAUCCACCAGUAUUGCUGGUCGGAAUCAACCGAAAUCAUUUUGCUCUCUAUCCAGAGGCCACUCAUGGAUGUACAAGUGCUAUUGAACAAAAGGCAAGGGUCAAAUAAGUUGAUGCAAUUCGUGGCAUGCUCUAAAAUGAGAAGUUAGAGGUUUAAAACAUGGAACUCAUUCUUAUCCAGGCCUCCAAGGAAAAACUUCUCUAUUUGAUGGUUGAGGGGAGGGAAUUCAUUUGCAAAAGAGCAAGAUCAAGUGAAAAUUGAUGCUUUCAUGUUAAAAAAAGGAGAUGUUUUUCACAACAAGUGGGUCGAAUCGACAUGGACAAGCACUAGCUCACAUUGAAGUUACACUUUUGAGGCCAUUGAUGGAGUUUGGAUGCUUAUAGCUGCUGAGGUCAGUUGGCACUUUCCACAGGGUUUCAGUACUGUUACUCUCUUUACCUGUAACUCUAAUUUGCAAGUGCAUGGCCAUGCAUUGCUUCCCAAACUCAUUAUUCCCACUCAGAAAUCUGGACUUUUUCUUAGCUUUUGAUUUUCAGCGGUGUUACGUGUUCACAAUACCAGAAUGGAUGGUGUAGAUCCGUCCAGUCAUGAUCAUGCGUCUCUUAUGAGCGGGCCCCUUGAUUGCUUGAUGGAGACUCCACAUUGUUUCUUCUGCUGAAGUAUUGGAUUGAAUUUGAUGGUAAAAAUAAUUCAGCAGCACUGCUUUGUUUUCCUGCUACUUUAGUUUGUAGGCAUUGGCCCAUCUCUUUUUGGCAAGUUUUCAGGUUCGUGGGCUCUUUGAUUUGAUGCAAAGUAGAUUUGUUAAAACUUGUGGUGGAGUUGGUAAAAAUUAAUUUUGUUUGAUUUGAUGUGAAGUUAUUGCAUCUAGCUUUUGGCAAAAUAUGGAGUUUGCUUUGUACUUUUAUGUAAA